rnacentral:tRNA from 1 species
AAGAUUAUAGUUUAAAAAAAAACAUUUGAUUUGCAUUCAAAAAUUAUUAAAUUAAGUAAUUUAUCUUG